CAUAGCGUGAGGAAGGCAGACCCAGGGAACUGAAACAUCUAAGUACCUGGAGGAAGAGAAAGAAAAAUCGAUUUCCUGAGUAGCGGCGAGCGAAACGGAAAGAGCCCAAACCAAGAAGCUUGCUUCUUGGGGUUGUAGGACACUCUAUACGGAGUUACAAAAGAAAGUUAUAAAUGAAGCGGUCUGGAAAGGCCCGCCAAAGACGGUAACAGCCCGGUAGUUGAAAUGGCUUUCCCUCCAGAGUGGAUCCUGAGUACGGCGGAACACGUGAAAUUCCGUCGGAAUCCGGGAGGACCAUCUCCCAAGGCUAAAUACUCCCUAGUGACCGAUAGUGAACCAGUACCGUGAGGGAAAGGUGAAAAGCACCCCGGAAGGGGAGUGAAACAGUUCCUGAAACCGUGUGCCUACAAGUAGUUAGAGCCCGUUAAUGGGUGAUAGCGUGCCUUUUGUAGAAUGAACCGGCGAGUUACGAUUUGUUGCAAGGUUAAGCGGAAAAAGCGGAGCCGUAGCGAAAGCGAGUCUGAAUAGGGCGCAUAAGUAACAGGUCGUAGACCCGAAACCAGGUGAUCUACCCAUGUCCAGGAUGAAGGUAAGGUAAUACUUACUGGAGGUCCGAACCCACGCACGUUGAAAAGUGCGGGGAUGAGGUGUGGGUAGCGGAGAAAUUCCAAUCGAACUUGGAGAUAGCUGGUUCUCUCCGAAAUAGCUUUAGGGCUAGCCUCGAGGUAAAGAGUCAUGGAGGUAGAGCACUGUUUGGACUAGGGGCCCUUCUCGGGUUACCGAAUUCAGAUAAACUCCGAAUGCCAUGUACUUAUACUCGGGAGUCAGACUGCGAGUGAUAAGAUCCGUAGUCGAAAGGGAAACAGCCCAGACCACCAGUUAAGGUCCCCAAAUAUAUGUUAAGUGGAAAAGGAUGUGGGGUUGCUUAGACAACCAGGAUGUUGGCUUAGAAGCAGCCACCAUUGAAAGAGUGCGUAAUAGCUCACUGGUCGAGUGACCCCGCGCCGAAAAUGUACCGGGGCUAAACAUAUUACCGAAACUGUGGAUGAACCUCUUUAGAGGUUCGUGGUAGGAGAGCGUUCUAAGGGCGGUGAAGUCAGACCGGAAGGACUGGUGGAGCGCUUAGAAGUGAGAAUGCCGGUAUGAGUAGCGAAAGAAGGGUGAGAAUCCCUUCCACCGAAUAUCUAAGGUUUCCUGAGGAAGGCUCGUCCGCUCAGGGUUAGUCGGGACCUAAGCCGAGGCCGAUAGGCGUAGGCGAUGGACAACAGGUAGAGAUUCCUGUACCAGUGCUAAUUGUUUAACCGAUGGGGUGACACAGAAGGAUAGGGAAUCGCACGAAUGGAAAUGUGCGUCCAAGCAGUGAGUGUGAGAAGUAGGCAAAUCCGCUUCUCGCGAAGCAUGAGCUGUGAUGGGGAAGGAAAUUAAGUACGGAAGUUCCUGAUUUCACGCUGUCAAGAAAAGCCUCUAGGAAGAGUAGUACUGCCCGUACCGCAAACCGACACAGGUAGAUGAGGAGAGAAUCCUAAGGUGAGCGAGAGAACUCUCGUUAAGGAACUCGGCAAAAUGACCCCGUAACUUCGGGAGAAGGGGUGCUCUAUUAGGGUGCAAGCCCGAGAGAGCCGCAGUGAAUAGGCCCAGGCGACUGUUUAGCAAAAACACAGGUCUCUGCAAAACCGUAAGGUGACGUAUAGGGGCUGACGCCUGCCCGGUGCUGGAAGGUUAAGAGGAGUGCUUAGCUUCGGCGAAGGUACGAAUUGAAGCCCCAGUAAACGGCGGCCGUAACUAUAACGGUCCUAAGGUAGCGAAAUUCCUUGUCGGGUAAGUUCCGACCCGCACGAAAGGCGCAACGAUCUGGGCACUGUCUCAACGAGAGACUCGGUGAAAUUAUAGUACCUGUGAAGAUGCAGGUUACCCGCGACAGGACGGAAAGACCCCGUGGAGCUUUACUGCAACCUGAUAUGGAAUGUUUGUACCGCUUGUACAGGAUAGGUAGGAGCCGAAGAGACGUGUGCGCUAGCAUACGAGGAGGCAAUGGUGGGAUACUACCCUGGCUGUAUGACCAUUCUAACCCGCCACGCUUAGCGCGUGGGGAGACAGUGUCAGGUGGGCAGUUUGACUGGGGCGGUCGCCUCCUAAAGAGUAACGGAGGCG
rnacentral:rRNA from 1 species